rnacentral:tRNA from 1 species
AUCCCAGUGGCGCAAUUGUUAGCGCGCGGUACUUAAGAUGCCGAGGUUGUGAGUUCGAUCCUCACCUGGGGAA